ensembl:lncRNA
CUGGGACAAGAGAACAUCGCCCAGAAGAACUGGGAGGGCGUCACAGAAAGAAUUGAGGGGAAACUUUCCAAAUGGAAAUGGCUGCUCCCUCAAAUGUCUUUUAAAGGUAGAGUUCUGGUUUUAAACAACCUGAUUGCAUCCCAGCUGUGGCACCGUCUGACCUGCCUGGACCCUCCCUCAGGCUUCCUUGCCAACAUACAGAAGAAAAUGGUGGAUUUUGGACUCCAGUUUUACAUAAAUAUCUCACAGGUCCGGAGUUUUUAGUAUGGAGGGACGUGGCCAGCUGCAUUUUUUAGAUGUGUGUGUAAGCGUGUGUCCUAGAACAGGUAUGUGUGUUUUUAUGUAUACGCGAGCAACCAGUUUUACUCUGAACCACUAACUGCACUUUUUCUGUAAUUAGGAGUUGUGGGGAUCAGCAGAAUGGGGUCGCUGCUGUUUUUGUCUCUAGUGAAGUUUGUGUCUCCAUGCACUCGUCUCCGCUGAAGCUCCACCUCCAGGGAAGCUUCGUCUUCGCGGCGUUCUCCUGACAGCCUUUAUCUCCCCCUCUGGAAGCGUUGUCCUACCACACUGCGCUGUGUAGGACUGCGUGCGGUCUGUCUGCAGCUCGGUGUGCCGAAUAUCGGUCGCCACGGCUGGCAUCCCCGCUUCAUACCGGGCGCCAGAUCAGUUCCUUUUUAAACGCUUGUCACGUCUGUGUUUUAACCAGGGCUGUGUCCCUUUUGUAUUGUUGGCUGGAUGUUAUUUUAUUGUAAUUUUGUAAAUUGUUUUUGACUUUUUUUUUUAGUUGCUGGAGACUGGUGGUGGCGGUGCUGGUGGCCGGGUGGUGGUGUCCUACCCCUUUGUUUGCGAUGUCCUGGGAAGCGGGUUCUUCACUACGUCGGGUGGUUUUGAGUUGUUUUGAGUUUGUUUUCUUGAUUUGGUGGGUUCCCCCCACCCCCUUUACACCUAGCGUUGUCCGCCCAUCCAGCUUCAGCACUCAAAUUGUUCUAAUUGAUUUUCUUUUGAUUUGAAUCAGUUGCACUGAUUUUAAAGGUAUUUAAAUUAAAGCUGUUCUUCUCUAAACCGUGAACUGCGUCUCCUGCCUAAAACGAGUAAACUUACCUGUGGGCCUUGUACAUUAUUUCUCGGGGUGAAAUUCCCAGAGUGGCGUUGUUGUUUUUCCUUUAUUUAGUUGCAUUCCCCUUUUUCACCCUAUCCUCGCCACACUUUCAUGCACAGUAGAUAAAAAGGCAACACUGACAUUCUGUUGUUGGAGCUAGUGAGAAUGUAUACACCACUUCAUAAAGUUUUGUUGUUGCCACUUCCUGCAUUAAUGGAUGAGAUACUGGCCAAAGACAUUUUUGUUUUUAUAUUGUUUGUACAUCUCAGUUCCAACAGGAUAUUGAACUAUUUGAAAACAUGUACUAGACACAUAACUUAUACGAUCACUACAGUAUUGCACAACUUAUUGAUCGAUCCAUCAAUAUGUUUCAUCAGGGAAAGGUUGUUGUGGGAAUACAACAGCAUGUACAACUCUUUCACAGCAACAUCCUGAAGGUAUCUUCAUGCCUACCAAGAAUUUGUGUUUAUGGAAACAAGCUAACCACUUGGUUAGGUUUAGUAUCGAAGGCUGGGGGGCUUUGAUUUCAAAGUACAUCUUCAAUUCCAAUACAAUCCAGAAGACAGCUUAUACAUAUCUGCAGGCGGUUGACAGAGGUCUUUGAUCAAUAAGAUGGACUGAACCAACACUUGAAUGUGUGCCGAGAGAAAUACAAUCACAGAAGUAAUUUUCUGCUUCAAGUUUUUUCUUGAACACACCAGCAGGAGGAAGUUGGCUUCAAAAAGGUAGGGUCGUGGGGGAGGGGCAGUGUUAAUUUCGUUGACGAAAACUAACGAAAGUUUUUCGUUAACAACCUUUUUUCCAUGACUAAGACGAGACUAAGCCGUGACGAAAUUGGAUCUUUGAAAAUAAAAACUAUGACUAAAUGUAUUUUAAAUUUCGUUAACGAGACGAAAAUGUUGGUUUUUGACGACGUCAGAAUAAUUUUCCGGGUCCUGCAUACUCCACGGCAGUGACGGCACGCCCCUCCCUGACAUCCCCAGUGAAGACCUAGUGACUGGUUCAACAUUGCAUGAUGGCUCAAGGACACGCACCUGGACGGAAAAAAAGAAUGGAUAUUUGGACACACUUAAAAUAUAUGGUGACGGAAAACAAAACCCAAUGCACCGUAAUAAGUGGAUAAAUCCUGUGGUUUGAAAAUCAGUGAGCCCAGAAAGCCCACCAUCCUAAAGUUCAUGCUCCGGCAGUGAUAGGACAGACACUGAUGCAGAGAGCACAGGGAGAGGAGAAACACCAGGUCGAAUAGAGAUAG